rnacentral:rRNA from 1 species
GUAAUUCGAUGCAACGCGAAAACCUUACCCACCUUUGACAUGGCAGGAAUCCCGAAGAGAUUUGGGAGUGCUCGAAAGAGAACCCGCACACAGGUGCUGCAUGGCUGUCGCCAGCUCGUGUCGUGAGAUGUUGGGUUAAGUCCCGCAACGAGCGCAACCCUUGCCAUUAGUUGCUACGAAAGGGCACUCUAAAUGGGACUGCCGGUGACAAACCGGAGGAAGGUGGGGAUGACGUCAAGUCCUCAUGGCCCUUAUAGGUGGGGCUACACACGUCAUACAAUGGCCGGUACAGAGGGUAGCCAACCCGCGAGGGGGAGCCAAUCCCACAAAGCCGGUCGUAGUCCGGAUCGCAGUCUGCAACUCGACUGCGUGAAGUCGGAAUCGCUAGUAAUCGUGGAUCAGCAUGUCACGGUGAAUACGUUCCCGGGUCUU